GAUGAACGCUGGCGGCGUGCUUAACACAUGCAAGUCGAACGAUGAAGCCCAGCUUGCUGGGUGGAUUAGUGGCGAACGGGUGAGUAACACGUGAGUAACCUGCCCUUGACUCUGGGAUAAGCCUGGGAAACUGGGUCUAAUACUGGAUAUGACUUCUCAUCGCAUGGUGGGGGGUGGAAAGAUUUAUUGGUCUUGGAUGGACUCGCGGCCUAUCAGCUUGUUGGUGAGGUAAUGGCUCACCAAGGCGACGACGGGUAGCCGGCCUGAGAGGGUGACCGGCCACACUGGGACUGAGACACGGCCCAGACUCCUACGGGAGGCAGCAGUGGGGAAUAUUGCACAAUGGGCGCAAGCCUGAUGCAGCGACGCCGCGUGAGGGAUGACGGCCUUCGGGUUGUAAACCUCUUUCAGUAGGGAAGAAGCGAGAAUGACGGUACCUGCAGAAGAAGCGCCGGCUAACUACGUG
rnacentral:rRNA from 1 species